AUUGAACGCUGGCGGCAUGCCUUACACAUGCAAGUCGAACGGCAGCAUAGGAGCUUGCUCCUGAUGGCGAGUGGCGAACGGGUGAGUAAUAUAUCGGAACGUGCCCUAGAGUGGGGGAUAACUAGUCGAAAGACUAGCUAAUACCGCAUACGAUCUACGGAUGAAAGUGGGGGAUCGCAAGACCUCAUGCCCCUGGAGCGGCCGAUAUCUGAUUAGCUAGUUGGUGGGGUAAAAGCUCACCAAGGCGACGAUCAGUAGCCGGUCUGAGAGGACGACCAGCCACACUGGGACUGAGACACGGCCCAGACUCCUACGGGAGGCAGCAGUGGGGAAUUUUGGACAAUGGGGGCAACCCUGAUCCAGCAAUGCCGCGUGAGUGAAGAAGGCCUUCGGGUUGUAAAGCUCUUUUGUCAGGGAAGAAACGGUUCUGGAUAAUACCUGGGACUAAUGACGGUACCUGAAGAAUAAGCACCGGCUAACUACGUGCCAGCAGCCGCCGUAA
rnacentral:rRNA from 1 species